CAGUCGCCACGGUAAUACGAAGGGUGCAAGCGUUACUCGGAAUUACUGGGCGUAAAGCGUGCGUAGGUGGUGGUUUAAGUCCGUUGUGAAAGCCCUGGGCUCAACCUGGGAAUUGCAGUGGAUACUGGGUCACUAGAGUGUGGUAGAGGAUAGUGGAAUUUCCGGUGUAGCAGUGAAAUGCGUAGAGAUCGGAAGGAACAUCAGUGGCGAAGGCGGCCAUCUGGGACAACACUGACGCUGAGGCACGAAAGCGUGGGGAGCAAACAGGAUUAGAUACCCCCGUAGUCCCUGUCUCUUAUAC
rnacentral:rRNA from 1 species